UGUCUUGACGCGAGCCAGAACUGUGUCCGUCUCCUCUUAACUCGGACGCAAGAAAGGGUGUCCCGUCGCCGGAGAGAGAGAGAGAGAGAGAGAGAGAGGACGACGCGAGGGGUUUGCGGCUUCGACGGAGGCGUGGCGUCGACUGAAUCGGUGUGGAAAGCGGCAGCGGCGACGGUGGAGGAGGAGGAUUUGAUGGUGGCGGAAGUCAGCGCUGGAGCGGCGGGGGAGACGGAGGAGGAAGUCAGAAAUGAGGAGGAGCUGGGGCUAGGGCUGACCUUGGGGCGGCGAGGAAGGGGAAGCCGCUGCCGGCGCCGUGGGGCCGUGCUGGCGCAUCUUGAUCGCCAAGAACUUCCCCUCCCUGGCGUCGCGCGCCUCUCCGAUGUCCCCAACCGCUUCCUUGGUCUCCUCGUCCUCCGGCACCAACCCGGGUGUCGCCGGGAAUAAGCGGGCGGCAGAAUCCGUCUCCCCUGACUCCCUUCCUCCCCGUCUCAGUGAGCGAACAGUCAGGUGGCAGUGGGAUGGCCAUCUAUCAGGGCCUUCAGGAUGAACAGAUUGUUCAACCAUUCCAAAGAUAGUACCUCCAAUUCCCUCAAGAAGACCAACCUCAUCAUUGGCAGCAAUGAUCAGGAGAAUAAAGGAAAAGAAAAGAGGAAUUCAUUAUUUGGUAAAUUGAAAUGGAUGGUGAUCCUAUAUGUUGGAAGGUGGAUCUCAUUGCCCAUCAUUCUCAUUAAUCUCUUGAAGUUGCACUUGAGCUCAUGUUUCAGAAGCCUACUAUGGGCCCUGCCCUUUGGCCUCUAUCUAUGGAGCAAAGGUUUCAAAGUUGUUAGAUGGUUCUUCUGAGUUUUCUCUUACUUAUGAAGACAAGGAUGGGGACUGGAUGCUGGUUGGAGAUGUGCCUCGAAUGGUAUGCCUUCUUCACAGUACAGACUGAUAUUGAUACCUGUCUAUCGGUAUUCCUAAACGCAAGAAAUCAUUCAUGGAUGACUACUUUGGUCAGGGAACCUAUUUCUCCUGGAGAACGAUAUCAUGGUGUUUCGAUCAUCAUUAGAAUACAUUUAUUAACAUAGAUCAAUUGUACUCUGGUUAUAGUGCAUGCAUUCAAUUUUGUUGCAAUCUUAUGGGUUUUCUGGUGAUCUUGUCCUUAGUUUUUUCUCAUUGUCAAAGACUUGUUCUGUUUUGUAGUUUGCUGAUUCAGUCUAACUUACAGAAUGGUUUUGGAAACAGUGAAGAGACUUAGAAUUAUGAGGAAGCAAAUGGGCUGUCAGUCUGUUCAUUUUGGAGAGCACCAGGAUUUCAGUCCUUCAACAAGGCCAGUGAAGCAAUAGGAAGCAGUCCCGGCAUAACAGCUAGAAACAGAAUGAGGUACCCUUAGAGGAGAGAAGAAGAUGGGGACUCUGGAGUAUGUAUUACACAGAAGAAAAGAGAUGAAACAAUUAGAGGAGCCUAGAUCAAUUUGGGCAAAACACAUAUUUGCCCUUGUUUUUGGUGGUUGAUUAGGUUCAUGAUUUCUCUGUGGUCAUUCAUGGCAUGACCACUCCCGGCAUGCUUGCUGCUUCAAUGCUGCAACUGUUUCACAGUUUUCUACUGAAUACAAUACAUGGUUUUGGAUAUUUCCUGCUGUUUCACACAGUUUCAUGGCUGAAAAUAUGAAUCCAUUGUUUUCC